rnacentral:rRNA from 1 species
GAUGAACGCUGGCGGCGUGCCUAAUACAUGCGAGUCGAGCGAACAGACGAGGAGCUUGCUCCUCUGACGUUAGCGGCGGACGGGUGAGUAACACGUGGAUAACCUACCUAUAAGACUGGGAUAACUUCGGGAAACCGGAGCUAAUACCGGAUAAUAUAUUGAACCGCAUGGUUCAAUAGUGAGAGACGGUUUUGCUGUCACUUAUAGAUGGAUCCGCGCCGCAUUAGCUAGUUGGUAAGGUAACGGCUUACCAAGGCGACGAUGCGUAGCCGACCUGAGAGGGUGAUCGGCCACACUGGAACUGAGACACGGUCCAGACUCCUACGGGAGGCAGCAGUAGGGAAUCUUCCGCAAUGGGCGAAAGCCUGACGGAGCAACGCCGCGUGAGUGAUGAAGGUCUUCGGAUCGUAAAACUCUGUUAUUAGGGAAGAACAAAUGUGUAAGUAACUAUGCACGUCUUGACGGUACCUAAUCAGAAAGCCACGGCUAACUACGU